UACGUAGGGGGCAAGCGUUGUCCGGAAUCAUUGGGCGUAAAGAGCGUGUAGGCGGCUCGGUAAGUCGGCUGUGAAAGUCCAGGGCUCAACCCUGGGAUGCCGGUCGAUACUGCCGGACUAGAGUUCGGAAGAGGCGAGUGGAAUUCCCGGUGUAGCGGUGAAAUGCGCAGAUAUCGGGAGGAACACCUAUGGCGAAGGCAGCUCGCUGGGACGUUACUGACGCUGAGACGCGAAAGCGUGGGGAGCGAACAGG
rnacentral:rRNA from 1 species